rnacentral:rRNA from 1 species
AGUCGAGCGAACGGACGAGAAGCUUGCUUCUCUGAUGUUAGCGGCGGACGGGUGAGUAACACGUGGAUAACCUACCUAUAAGACUGGGAUAACUUCGGGAAACCGGAGCUAAUACCGGAUAAUAUUUUGAACCGCAUGGUUCAAAAGUGAAAGACGGUCUUGCUGUCACUUAUAGAUGGAUCCGCGCUGCAUUAGCUAGUUGGUAAGGUAACGGCUUACCAAGGCAACGAUGCAUAGCCGACCUGAGAGGGUGAUCGGCCACACUGGAACUGAGACACGGUCCAGACUCCUACGGGAGGCAGCAGUAGGGAAUCUUCCGCAAUGGGCGAAAGCCUGACGGAGCAACGCCGCGUGAGUGAUGAAGGUCUCCGGAUCGUAAAACUCUGUUAUUAGGGAAGAACAUAUGUGUAAGUAACUGUGCACAUCUUGACGGUACCUAAUCAGAAAGCCACGGCUAACUACGUGCCAGCAGCCGCGGUAAUACGUAGGUGGCAAGCGUUAUCCGGAAUUAUUGGGCGUAAAGCGCGCGUAGGCGGUUUUUUAAGUCUGAUGUGAAAGCCCACGGCUCAACCGUGGAGGGUCAUUGGAAACUGGAAAACUUGAGUGCAGAAGAGGAAAGUGGAAUUCCAUGUGUAGCGGUGAAAUGCGCAGAGAUAUGGAGGAACACCAGUGGCGAAGGCGACUUUCUGGUCUGUAACUGACGCUGAUGUGCGAAAGCGUGGGGAUCAAAC